GAUGAACGCUGGCGGCGUGCCUAAUACAUGCAAGUCGAGCGGUAAGGCCACUUCGGUGGUACACGAGCGGCGGACGGCUGAGUAACGCGUAGGAACAUACCCCAAACUGAGGGAUAACUGCCCGAAAGGGUAGCUAAUACCGCAUGUGCCCUUCGGAGUAAAGCUACGGCGGUUUGGGAAUGGCCUGCGUCCGAUUAGCUAGUUGGUGAGGUAAUAGCUCACCAAGGCGACGAUCGGUAGCUGGUCUGAGAGGAUGAUCAGCCAGACUGGGACUGAGAACGGCCCAGACUCCUACGGGAGGCAGCAGUAGGGAAUUUUCCACAAUGGACGAAAGUCUGAUGGAGCAACGCCGCGUGCAGGAUGAAGGCUUUCGGGUCGUAAACUGCUUUUAUCUGUGAAGAUUAUGACGGUAGCAGAUGAAUAAGGAUCGGCUAACUCCGUGCCAGCAGCCGCCGUAA
rnacentral:rRNA from 1 species